AUUGAACGCUGGCGGCAGGCCUAACACAUGCAAGUCGAGCGGUUGAGGUAGCUUGCUACCGAUGCAGCGGCGAACGGGUGAGUAAUACAUGGGAAUCUGCCUGGUAGUGGGGGACAACGUCUCGAAAGGGACGCUAAUACCGCAUACGCCCUACGGGGGAAAGGGGGGGAUCUCCGGACCUCUCGCUAUCAGAUGAGCCCAUGUCAGAUUAGCUAGUUGGUGGGGUAAAGGCUCACCAAGGCGACGAUCUGUAACUGGUCUGAGAGGAUGAUCAGUCACACCGGAACUGAGACUCGGUCCAGACUCCUACGGGAGGCAGCAGUGGGGAAUAUUGGACAAUGGGCGCAAGCCUGAUCCAGCCAUGCCGCGUGUGUGAAGAAGGCCUUAGGGUUGUAAAGCACUUUCAGUGGGGAGAAAGGUAAUUCACCUAAUACGUGAGUUAAUUGAUGUUACCCACAGAAGAAGCACCGGCUAACUCCGUGCCAGCAGCCGCCGUAA
rnacentral:rRNA from 1 species